rnacentral:lncRNA from 1 species
GGGAGAGAUAUGAAUAGAUGAUUGAGUUUUUUUUCCAAGGAGUCCAUGUUUGAUUCUCUCCUUUGCCCAGCCCUCAGUGUUCUGUGAAUGUUGUCAAUUUUAUCUCUACUCUUUCCCUUCCUCUCCUCCAGUGGCUUGCUUGUAAAAUCGUCUGACUUGAGAAAUUAAUUUGGUGGUGACUAGGUCAGAUUUUUAGGAGAAAGAGGAGAGGGUCGGAUCUGAAGAUUGUGAAAUUCUUUUCUCCUGUGUCAUCGAACGCCUCUUCCUCCAUGACCUUCGACACUGAUAAAGUAGAAGAAACUGAGGCACGGGGAGAGGAAAGCAACUGAGAAGAGAGGAACGAGGUAGGGCGAACACUCAGGCCUUUUCACUGAACCGGCUGACCUGUCCUUUCAGACUGGAUCCCAGUGUUUAUCUUAAAGUUGUAGCAGGGAUCAGAUGAGCAGCUGAGCUGGAGCCCAGAAGUAAGUUUUUCCUACAGAGAAUUGACAGAGCCGGCUCUACUGGAAUAAAACUUGCCAAGAAGCCAAGCAAGAAGGGCAGAUAGCCUGGCUCCACCUUCUUUUUUGUUCUUGGCUCUUUUCUUCCCUCCAGUUUCCUCCCAUUCUUUUGAUCUGUCUUUGUUGCUCCCCAUCCAUGGCCUGGGGAAACCAUUUCUCCACUGCCCCCUGAGGCUCCCAGCAUUCAUGGGGACCCUGAGGGGAAGGUGGGCAACAGCCAGGGAAGGACUUGUAACAAAGGAAUAGUCUCCAGAAUAUUGUUUACAAUGCUAAGAUGUUUCUUCUUGAUGGUCCAGUCCCCCACCCCACCCCCACUACACUUUAGUUGGUUAAGCAUUGGUUUCUGUCUGUCUGUCUUUCUUUUUAACUGUGGAAUUAUCUUGCCUAUGCACCCAUAUUAUUUGGUUCUGUCCUCUCUCGAUUUCACUGCCAGUCUGGAUGGGUACCCCCUCUUUCUAUGUGUGGGCUCCUCUGUAAGUGCACUCAACCCCUCCGUGACACUUUUGCUGACACCUUUGACCCCAAGGGCCUCAUCAUUUCUAAGUGACGGACAUCUCUGUCCUCUGUUCACUUUCUCCCUUCCCGUCUGUGAAUACGGAUGGCUCUUCUUGAGUGUGCCUGGCUCCCCCUCUUCCUGGCCCGAGGAUGCGAACGUGCAUCAUCCUGACACUAAGAGUGUCUCCACUUGUGUGCGCGCCACAUUGCACAGCAUGUGGCAACAGUCUCUUGUGUCCUCUCCUGUGCCAGGCACCUCUGCCUGCCGGCCACACGUGUCACAGUCUGCAGGUGUAGGUGGCUGAUGGUGGUCGGUCGCCUCCCUGUGCAGGCCUGUAAUCCUUGUCUCUAACAGAGCACCUGUUAAUCUGCCCAGCUCCCUCUCCCACACUUUCCAUCUCCCCCCACACCGCCCCCAGCCUGUCUGCAUCUGCUCCCGCUUUUCCUGUGACCUCUUGAUGUGUCUUCUCACCUCGCUCCUGCCUGCCUCUCUACCUGCUUGCUUCUGUUAUGAUGCCUGCCUGCCUGUCUGCUCCUCCCUCACUGGCUGGCAGCUUUUUUCUCUCUCUGGUUGUCUGUCUGCUUCUCUGGCUGUUUGCCCACCACUCUCUCUCCCUAGCCAUCUGUCUCCCCGCCUGCCUGUCUCUGUCACUUUUAUAGCCUGAACCUCUUGGUUUGUCUACCUUCCAGGACUUGCCACAGUUUCCCAUCAUGGUUGGCCUCUCAUCUUGACCCUGUACUUGUUUCCGUUCCGCGUGUCUCCGCUGACUUCCUUGGCUUUCUUUGACUUCUUUUAGCUGUGUCCUCUCACUGCCUGUCUUGUCUGCUGCUCUCCGGCUGUUCAGUUUGUAUCUUUUUACUCUACUUAUCAGCUGUUUCUCCUAGGGCUUCCAAGGGUCGUGCUGACAACGCACCAAUGGGCUUAGUUCCUCUCCCCAGGCCCUUCAGCGGGUCCCUCGCCUUGAUGCCUUGACAUCUCAGCUGCAGUUGUACUGUACCCCUUACCACGCCUCCUUUUUAAUCUCUCUUCCUUGCUGCCUUCACAGGCAGUCUGCCUGCCUCUGUCUUUUUGCUAGUUUCCUAGUAUCUAUUUUCCUGGCUUUUUGCUGUCUGCUUAGCAGGUUCUGGCUGUCCACAUCUCUGCUUGCUUUUCUUUCUUCUUGUUUGUUUUAGGUACUUUUCCCCCCAGUCAACUUUCGAAUAGAUAUAAACAUGCUAUGAAAUUCUCAAAGUAUGAAACCUAAAGCUAGUGUGACACAGCUAACUAAUUAGGAGCAUUGGUGUCCUUCCAGAGGACCCAGGUUUGAUUACCAGUACUGAUGUGGUAGCUGACAACCAUCUGUAACUCCAGUUCCAAGGAUACAACGCCCUCUUCUGGUGUCUGUGGGUAUUGCAUGAAUGAUAUAACACUGAGGCAAAAUACCCAUACACAUAAAAAAUAAAGGGGCUGAAGAGAUGGGUCAGCAGUCAACUGCACUGUUGUUCUGGGGUUUGAUUACCAGCACCCACCUACCUUUCUGUAAUGCCAGUUAUAGAGAAGUUAACACCCUGAACCACCCAGCGCAGCAGGCACACACAGAGUGCACAGACAUACACGCAGCAAAACUCUCAUGCACAUAAAAUAAGUGCUUUUAAACAUAAGACUUUUAAUGAAGAAUAAAAGUCUCCUACAUCACCUUCUCUCCCAGGCCAGGAAUGCUUAAGAGCCAGUCAUCAUCCCAUUUGUUAGAUGCCACUACAGGGAGGUCCACACAUCUGAACCCCCACCACUCUGUGCACACAGCCACUCCCAUCCCUUCUCAGUGGGUGUGGUUCUUAUCUCCUCUCUCCCAGGUUCACCCAUACCCUGUCACACAUCAGGACUUCCUGACUUCUCCAGGCUUUGCUACCUCUCCCCGUUUACCGUUCCGAUCCAACCUUGUAGGUCUCACAGAGCUGGGUACCAUCCUUUUAAUUGACUGCUUGCUCUUUGCUUGCUUUCACUGCCGCAGAAAUGCUCAGGAAGGGCUUAUCCUCCCCUAAGUCAACCUGGUAGGUGACCUGGAUGACUGCACACACUCCUUGGUCUCUUCCCUAAAACCUGUGUCACAGAAAGACAUGGCUACACUGGGAGGAGUGAACUGCCACACCGACGCAGGUCGACGUCACAAGUGCAGUGACGUGCAAGCUGUGCGUCCCUGCAUGGGAAGCAGGUAGACGCCUUGCUCUGCUUUUCUCGUAUACAUUUACAAUUUCUGUCUUUUCCUUUUGUAGGGAAACAAAGUCUAGCCGCGUAGCCCGGGUUCCUCGGCUUCCCCAGUGCAUACCAUGCCUAGGUCUUCAGGGUUGCUUUUGAUCAUAAGACACUGGGCACGGGGGUACAUGCCUACAGACCCGGGACUCAGGAGGCUGAGACAGAAGGAUGGGGAGUUUGAUGCCAGCUUGGAUUACAUAGUGCGACUGUCUCAAAACCUGCCUAAGUCAGUACUUCGGCCCGACCAGUCGUCUUACCCAACACUGGAGCCUGAGGCUGCAGCUUGGAAGAUGUACUCUUUCCCCUGUGAAGGCCAAAGGGGACUAAAUCUAGCCCUGGCCCAAAACAAAACAUGAUAUCCUCCUUUCAUCUCUAAAGUACACCUCAGGCCACACCCACCC